rnacentral:piRNA from 1 species
CGAGAGUAGUGGUGUUUACAACU